UACGUAGGGUGCAAGCGUUGUCCGGAAUUAUUGGGCGUAAAGAGCUUGUAGGCGGUUUGUCGCGUCUGCUGUGAAAUUUCGGGGCUCAACCCCGAACUUGCAGUGGGUACGGGCAGACUAGAGUGUGGUAGGGGAGACUGGAAUUCCUGGUGUAGCGGUGAAAUGCGCAGAUAUCAGGAGGAACACCGAUGGCGAAGGCAGGGUCUCUGGGCCAUAACUGACGCUGAGAAGCGAAAGCUGGGGAGCGAACAGG
rnacentral:rRNA from 1 species